GAUGAAGAACGUAGCGAAAUGCGAUAAGUAAUGUGAAUUGCAGAAUUCAGUGAAUCAUCGAAUCUUUGAACGCACAUUGCGCCCCUCGGUAUUCCGAGGGGCAUGCCUGUUCGAGCGUCAUUAUAACCCUCAAGCUCAGCUUGGUGUUGGGGCCUGCUGCACUGGCAGCCCUUAAAAUCAGUGGCGGCGCCAUCUGGCUCUAAGCGUAGUAAUUCUUCUCGCUAUGGAGUCCUGGUGGAUGCUUGCCAUCAACCCCCAAUUUUUCUAUGGUUGACCUCGGAUCAGGUAGGGAUACCCGCUGAACUUAAGCAUAUCAAUAAGCGGAGGA
rnacentral:misc_RNA from 1 species